AUGGUGGGGAGCGGCAUGCAUGCGCAGCGCGGGGACCCGCUGGUGGUGGGUCGCGUGAUCGGCGACGUGGUGGACCCGUUCGUGCGGCGGGUGGCGCUGCGGGUCGGCUACGCGUCCAGGGACGUGGCCAACGGCUGCGAGCUCAGGCCGUCCGCCAUCGCCGACCCGCCGCGCGUCGAGGUCGGCGGCCCGGACAUGCGCACUUUCUACACGCUGGUGAUGGUGGAUCCGGAUGCUCCAAGCCCCAGCGAUCCCAGCCUUAGGGAGUACUUGCACUGGCUGGUCACCGACAUCCCGGCGACGACAGGAGUGUCUUUUGCGACCGAGGUGGUGUGCUACGAGGGCCCGCGGCCGGUGCUCGGGAUCCACCGGCUGGUGUUCCUGCUCUUCCAGCAGCUGGGCCGCCAGACGGUGUACGCCCCGGGGUGGCGGCAGAACUUCAGCACCCGCGACUUCGCCGAGCUCUACAACCUCGGCCUGCCCGUCGCCGCCGUCUACUUCAACUGCCAGAGGGAGACCGGGACCGGCGGGAGAAGGAUGUGA
rnacentral:rRNA from 1 species